UACGCAGGGGGCUAGCGUUGCUCGGAAUCACUGGGCGUAAAGCGCACGUAGGCGGAUUGGUAAGUCAGGGGUGAAAUCCUGGAGCUCAACUCCAGAACUGCCUUUGAUACUGGCGAUCUUGAGUCCGGGAGAGGUGAGUGGAACUGCGAGUGUAGAGGUGAAAUUCGUAGAUAUUCGCAAGAACACCAGUGGCGAAGGCGGCUCACUGGCCCGGUACUGACGCUGAGGUGCGAAAGCGUGGGGAGCAAACAGG
rnacentral:rRNA from 1 species